GGGAAAUGCCUGAAGGAGCUAAGAGGGAAGACAUUGACACUCAUGGUCAAGCCGGACUUAUUCAACACAAGAAAAAUCCUCUCUGUCUUGUUGCUAAGAAGCGAAUUGAAUGCGUGUGAUCUUGAACUUGCAUGUUAUGCUAUAUUUAUGUGAAGAAAAUAAAGCAUGCAUGAUGAGGUCUUUGAAGAGUGUCACCGGAAAUAGAGUAUUAUAGUUAAGUGAGUCUUCAUGAUUAAUAUUGUAAUAAAAGACUCUAUCCUUGUAUUAUAUGUUCAUAGAAAUAAAAAUCAUCUUUCUGUAUAGACUCUUCCUAUAGUUCUUUCAAUAAAGUUGUAUUAAAUCAGUCUCUCAGUAUUUGAUGAUUUGAAAGAGAAACUUUAAACUUUCAUAAGUGCUUUAAAUUGAGAACAAGUAUUCACAUAAUGAAGCAAACAACUAAGUGACUAGAAUAAGUUGACGGCUAUCCAAUAAAUUUGCCGAUGUUGCUCUUUACUCCUGUAUGCCCACAAUUCUGGAAAAACAUAAUACUCAAAUUGAAAUCUGGAAAUUGUUACCGCGUACUACACACACAAACCAAGCCUAUGGGGGCAUCUCGGUUAGUCAAGAUACAGUUCGGUUCGUAAAGGUAACAUCUCUGUUCUAUAAAGAUAGAACCUAUUUAUUCAAAACAGUGUUGUGUGGAAUAUGGCAGAAAACCCCAAUAAACACGCCAUUGCGGCCUAUGACAGCACCAUGGCCUCCAUUCAAAACAAUAUUGGUCCAAAAAGCGCAUAACCUGGUGCACUGAAUCUUAAAACAAGUUUGGUUCAGGACAAACCAUGAACUGUUCGGUUUUUACAAACUGUUUUUACGGUUCCAUUUGAUUUUCCUUCGUGAAACAAAUCAUGAAAAGUUGUACAAGUUAUCCCACUAGGGCUUGAGCUUAUCUACCGGCAUAAGUUUUGUGAUACUGUUUUGGACAACUUAUAAAAAUAGCUUAUGACAUUUUUCAUAAGCUUUUUUUUGUAAGUUCUCCAAAAUAGUUUAUGGAAACAACUUAUAGCAUAUACGAAAACAAUUUUAUUUUAUCUUUUGCCAUAGAAACAGAUUAUGUAAGCUUAUAGAUAAUCAC
rnacentral:lncRNA from 1 species